rnacentral:lncRNA from 1 species
AGCGCGGGUGGGCGACCGGCGGCGUCGGACCCUGGAGCACGGCCGGCCCCCUCGAACCUCGGCGUCGCGCCUCACCAGGCCGCCCCCUGGGCGUCCGAAGUGCGCCGGAGGCCGCGGGCGGCAAGUUUUGACAGCGGGCGCUGGGCUAGCCUGGAACAAAAGGGAAGUGUCGGGAGGCUCGGCCGUACCCGCGUACAGGGUGUGAGGUGCUCUCGGAGGCGUCCUUCCCUCGGGGUGAAUGAAGCCCGGUAUUACGGGCCUGGGCUUCCCUAGGUGCUGUGACCGUGUAGCGAUAUGUGAAGUCCGUUCUUCCACAUUUCAAACACCAGUCAGCUGUGACUGGGGAUGCCCGACCACCUUCCUCAUUUUCCCUGUGACCCCGCCCACGGGCGACCACCUAGGAGUCGGUCUUCGUGACUCCCCCAACUCGAGUACGAGCAUCUUUUUUGGAUGCACUCCCACUAUCGUCCUGGGAGUGCCAGUCUUUUUCCGGGUGAAUCAACAUGCAAGUGUCAAGACUCGCUCACUCGGGGCAGCCUCACCUGUCAGACCAUCCCUGGUGCGUUGCCCGGGUCUGGUUUGGUCCAGGGCCUUGCCAGCACCGUGGGAUGCUUGUUACUUCCAGGAACACUGAGCUCCUGCCAGCUUGAGUUCAGGUACAGGUUUUCAAGCUUCGCGUCCCGACGUAACGUAGACAACCUCCCUCACUUGUCUCCUGGCUCUGCUAGCUCUUUCAUUAC